rnacentral:rRNA from 1 species
UACGGGGGGGGCAAGCGUUGUUCGGAAUUACUGGGCGUAAAGGGCUGGUAGGCGGCCAACUAAGUCGGAUGUGAAAUCCCCAGGCUUAACCUGGGAACUGCAUCCGAUACUGGUCGGCUUGAGAUUGGGAGAGGGAUGCGGAAUUCCAGGUGUAGCGGUGAAAUGCGUAGAUAUCUGGAGGAACACCGGUGGCGAAGGCGGCAUCCUGGACCAACACUGACGCUGAGGAGCGAAAGCCAGGGGAGCAAACGGG